rnacentral:rRNA from 1 species
AGCAGCCGCGGUAAUUCCAGCUCCAAUAGCGUAUAUUAAAGUUGUUGCAGUUAAAAAGCUCGUAGUUGAAUUUCGAGAUCAAAUUGUUGGUCGUGCCUCGGUACGUACUGGCAUUAUUGAUUUCUCCCUUCUGAAGAACCUUGAUGUCAUUAAUUUGGUGUCUUGGGGAAUCAGGACCGUUACUUUGAAAAAAUUAGAGUGUUUAAAGCAGGCUCACGCUUGAAUACAUUAGCAUGGAAUAAUGAAAUAGGACGUUUGAUUCUAUUUUGUUGGUUUCUAGGAUCGACGUAAUGAUUAAUAGGGAUAGUUGGGGGCAUUAGUAUUCAAUUGUCAGAGGUGAAAUUCUUGGAUUUAUUGAAGACUAACUACUGCGAAAGCAUUUGCCAAGGAUGUUUUCAUUAAUCAAGAACGAAAGUUAGGGGAUCGAAGACGAUCAGAUACCGUCGUAGUCUUAACCAUAAACUAUGCCGACUAGGGAUCGGAUGAUGUUAAUUUUUAAUGUACUCAUUCGGCGCCUUAC